AGUGAACGCUGGCGGUAGGACUAACACAUGCAAGUCGAACGGCAGCACAGUAAGAGCUUGCUCUUACGGGUGGCGAGUGGCGGACGGGUGAGGAAUACAUCGGAAUCUACUUUUUCGUGGGGGAUAACGUAGGGAAACUUACGCUAAUACCGCAUACGACCUACGGGUGAAAGCAGGGGAUCUUCGGACCUUGCGCGAUUGAAUGAGCCGAUGUCGGAUUAGCUAGUUGGCGGGGUAAAGGCCCACCAAGGCGACGAUCCGUAGCUGGUCUGAGAGGAUGAUCAGCCACACUGGAACUGAGACACGGUCCAGACUCCUACGGGAGGCAGCAGUGGGGAAUAUUGGACAAUGGGCGCAAGCCUGAUCCAGCCAUACCGCGUGGGUGAAGAAGGCCUUCGGGUUGUAAAGCCCUUUUGUUGGGAAAGAAAAGCAGCAGGUUAAUACCCCGCUGUUCUGACGGUACCCAAAGAAUAAGCACCGGCUAACUUCGUG
rnacentral:rRNA from 1 species